rnacentral:rRNA from 1 species
GACGAACGCUGGCGGCGUGCUUAACACAUGCAAGUCGAACGAAGAGCGAUGGAAGCUUGCUUUCUAUCAAUCUUAGUGGCGAACGGGUGAGUAACGCGUAAUCAACCUGCCCUUCAGAGGGGGACAACAGUUGGAAACGACUGCUAAUACCGCAUCCGAUCUAAUCUCGGCAUCGAGGAAAGAUGAAAGGUGGCCUCUAUUUAUAAGCUAUCACUGAAGGAGGGGAUUGCGUCUGAUUAGCUAGUUGGAGGGGUAACGGCCCACCAAGGCGAUGAUCAGUAGCCGGUCUGAGAGGAUGAACGGCCACAUUGGGACUGAGACACGGCCCAGACUUCCUACGGGAGGCAGCAGUGGGGAAUCUUCCGCAAUGGACGAAAGUCUGACGGAGCAACGCCGCGUGAGUGAUGAUGGCUUCGGGUUGUAAAGCUCUGUUAAUCGGGACGAAAGGCCUUCUUGCGAACAGUUAGAGGGAUUGACGUACCGGAAUAGAA